GGGCACCCCAUCAACAUAGAAGUGUUAUAUGAUAGUUCAAUGCUUCCUGUUGAGAAGGAGUGCUCUGAUCAGCUAAAAAACAGGAGCAGAAUGCCUCAACUUGUUUGGAGAACGUCAAAGAGAACUCCCGUCUGUUACACAAGUUCUACCUCUUCUGCAACUAAGUAUGAGAACCUUCAGCACAGCAGCAAGAAACUUGGAGAUUUAAGUUCCCAAGCUAGGAAAAAUGGUCUCUU
rnacentral:misc_RNA from 1 species